AUAGGAGGAACAAAUAUGAGCUCAAUGGGAAAUUGCUUUCAUUCUGCUGACAGUUACAGUUUCCUGGAAAUAAAAUCAUCAACAGAAGCUCAUAUCACAUCGCCCGCAUCCACUUUGAGGGAAGCAACAGUCUCACUUGAAAAAGGGGUGAAGCAAGAUAAACAUCAAGCAGAGGAAAGUGGUGACUGCCUGCGCUUGGAGAACCUUCCAUGGAAACUGCUCCAGACUCCUGACAAAUCUCUAUUGCUGUAACGGUCUCGUACAAGGACUGGAAGGAAUAUCAAGGUGUCCAAAGGUUUUUGGAGUCUUACGAAUAGCCCUUUAUGAUCAGAGUUCAGCCAUCGUAGGAAGAUCAGCUGCACGUUAUCAGGUGGCAAAAGGCAGGAUUUGGGGCUACAGUGGAAGAAAUCAUCAGGGAGAACUAAGUAAGGUUCAGGUUUUGAGAUCGGCUGGAUGUGGUCUCUUUUCACUGGAAAGACACUUCCUGAAGGACCUGGAGAUCCGUCAGCAUUGUCAUGCGAUGGUCUUUUGCGCUCUCGCCUGGGAAGGAGCAGAGAACCAACUGAGCCAGCAUCAUGGAAGCAAGACUAAACGAAGAGGAAGCCUGCCAGCCCUGGAGACCAAGCGCAGCACUGCAUGUGCCAAAGCAAUAGUAGAUAGUUGCCUGCUAAGAUGCCUCAACACGGAACAGAAGUGAUCGCUUUGGAAAUACAUCACCCCAAACCAUCAUUCAGACCCACUCAGCCCAUGACUUCCCAUCCGAGUUGUCCAGUGAAGAUACCUUUCUAUCAUUACUGCAUCUGCUGCCAUCAGGGAACGUAUGGUGAGGUGGAUCUAUUUUUACUUAUGACUGAAUGGAGGUAAAUUCUUUUUUUCUUCCCCGUAAAUUUAAUUCCUGCUCCUGCUUUUAUUUUUCCAUUUUAACAUAGAAUUAGAACAUUAAUAAUUAGUAAUCCAAAUUAUCCAUGUCUGUCUAAGUGCCAGCGUCGUCUCAGAGCACCACCACAGGGCAUCAGAAGGAUAAAAUGAACUAUUUUUAGAUGUGGAAUUUCUGAAUCCUAACAGGAUACAAUGAAAAGAUUAUUUCUGAUGAAGAUUACUGAAUCCUACUUCAUAUUUGAGUGUGCCCACAUGCCUACUAUCUCUUUUUUCCCCAAUAUGGAUGGAAACAGGACCAUUAAUUUAGUUAGUCUUUUUUUCAUUACAUGACAAACCUGCAGGUAGGAGAAUCCAGGUUUAGUUCAUAUUCUGUAGAACUGAUAACAGCAUGAAUUCCAUUCUUUCCUCGGAGUGAAUGGUUGCGCUCGUAGUUAUUACUCAUCAAGUGGUUUGUUAGCUUACAGAAAUCUUUACAAAUAUCUUCUCCCUCUCUGCAGAGCCAGGUCGAGUGGGUACAACUGGGGCACACAGGAGCCUUUCCCACCCACCAGUGCGUGUCCAGCCCUGCCCUGCAAUCAAGAGUGUCCCUCUCCUGAGGAAAUGAUUCUCCCUGCAAGCACUGACGGCUCUGCCAGAGGUUGUCAGGGUGCCACAUUCACAGGCCACCAAGCUAGCAGUACCUGCAACGCGCUGCGAGUUUGCCAAUCUCUUCUCUUUGUUUUUCUUCCACUGACAGUCUUCCUCCUACCAGAUACUAGGCAAGGAAAGGAUGCUGCAUCAAUGGCUCCGGCAUGAGAGUUACAGCAUGCGCUCCGGAUCUUUAGAAACCACAGCCAUCUUUAGUUCCAGCCGAGGCCUGUGGGUGCUACAGAAAACCAGAGCCUACGUACGCUCAGAAAAGACAGCAAAGUCCUCGUAGAAUCAUAGAAUGCCAGGCUGGAAGGGACGUCGGGGAUCAUCUGGUCCAACCUUUUAGGUGACCUGUAGUUCAAAUGAGAUGGCCCAGCCCCCUGUCAAGCUGAGCUCUUAAAGUAUCCAGCGCAGAGGACUCCACCACUUCCCUGGGGAGAUUAUUCGUGUCUCACUGUUCUCAUGGGGAAAAAUUUUCUUCUGGAAUCUAACUGGAAUCUUCCCCAGGAGGAACUUGUACCCAUUACCCCUUGUCUUUUCCAAGUGACUCCUCAGUAACAAGGGAGUCUCCAUCCUCUUGGCAGACACCAUUUAUGUGCUGGCACAUGGUAAUAACGUCUCCCCUAAGCCUUCUCCUCUCAAGGCUGAAUAAACUCGGCUCUCUCAGUCUCACUCCAUAGGGUACGGUGUUGUCUAUUUGAACCUCCCACCACUUCUUGAGUAGGAGAAUGGAUUCUAUGGCUCAGGUCAAUGCAACCUUUGCUACCACCUUUUUCUUUCUCUACUUAAAAACAGCCUUUUUAGAACAUUGGGGUUUUCCCCUAGAAAAUAACUUGUUCCACACCCGUGUUUGCACAGUGACCACCGCUGCCCUGGAGUAGAUGGGGAACUGUUUGUAGCUCAGUGAAAAGCUAUUUUAAAGUCAUUCCUGGUUCCAGAGGUGCUUUAAAACAUCCAUUUUGAUCAGUUAAAAAACUUGGCUGCUUUUACUAAAACCAGCGCCUGCGAUGGUUAUAUUUUAUUUUGUUUAGGUUUGGUUUGUUUGUUCAGUUGAAAAUAGGUACGUCAGCAUUCGGAAGAGGGUCUGAAGGCACUCAGAGUUUUUUAAUAGCAAGCAAAAUUCUCAUUAACAGGCAAUUUUAAAAAGCAAUAACAUUAAUUUUUUUGGACUAUUAAGCAUAUAGAGUGUUUAUAUUUCCAGCAAAGAAUGAACUAAUGGAAAAUAAAAUCCUGUCAUGCACUAGUGCCACAGCAUCACAACAUAACGUGUGCGCGGCUGAUUGCAAUUCAGCCUUUCGACAGGAUUAUACACGAUCAAAGCUUCUGGAGUGAGAACUAUGUAACAAAUGUUUGAAACCAAUUUUAAUGUUUGUUUGUCUUGCCUCUUUUUCUUUCAAACCAAAGCUUGUUUCUUGUUAAUGAUGUGUUAAACUAAAAAAAACCCAACUGUCGGUCUCUGUACACGUUCCGAACUACAGGCUGACGUGUUGGGUGUCACAUCUGUUCAGUACACAGCCAGCUCAGUUUUUUUGCCUUAGGUGAGUGCUCUUGGUAGGAUUAACCACAUCAGCCUGAAAAUAUCUGCCUUUUUGGAUGUCUAGGUAAUGGAUCAGCGCAGGGUCACAGACAGGCAAAGCGCCAUUCUUUAAAGGGAAGUUCCAGAUGGUGGAGACAGAACUUCUCACUCCCUGACAGAUGGCCACGCCACCACUGGGAAGGAGAGCUGUGCUCGUCUAUGAGGACUUGACUUUGCACACUUACCUUCCGCUACCUGUGAGUUCUCUGAGUGCUAAUUCACUCUAGGAGGCCUGUUACUUGGUUAUCCGUAACUAUCAGGACAUCCCAAGCUGUCCAACAGCUCCUGUAGGACUCUUGUAGGUGUUAGUUUAAUGAUUUAAAGUCACUAAAAUCCUUCUGAAUGUUUAUGUCCACAGGCACAAUUGUGAUGUCAAGCGGAAUUCCCUACUUUUGAAACAAACUAUCAAUGAGAUAAUACUGACCCCCUUAAUCAAUUGUUAAUCAGUAUCCAAAAAAGACCCAGGAAAUCAAGAGCAGGCUUUUGGUUUUGCUUGCAGUGCUGCCUGAGAAGUCCAGGAAGACCACGUUGUCCUGACCUUCCUCUGAAGCACCCAACAGGAAAAGCACACACAACUGCGCCUCCAGGGGCAGAUCCCCCAAUCAGGUUGUGGAAAUAAAGCUGUCUGCUGUGGAAGAGCAGUUUUUGCAUUACACGCCCUGUUAAUGACUUUUACACAUGGAGCUCUUCGUGGCUAAAGAAAACUAGAAAUUGGAGAAGCUGCAAGGAAUAAUGAAGAAAUGGACUGGAAGAGACCUCAGGCGAGGCUUGGAUGUUUCUGAAUCACAGGAAUGGCAAGAACCAAACCAGCACUUUUCAUUCGAACCAAAUGCACAGCAAUCAAAGAGCUAAAACUCCCGGGUGAAACCUCGUGCAAAUGGUUUUCAGGUGAAGGUUAAACAGUUUGCAGUGUGAAAAUUAAUUGGAAUAAACCCGGUGAUGGACACCUGUGUCUCCCUGUUAGAAUCUCCUUCCAUCAUCCAGAGUGGAGCUGCUACAGUUAGCUGUGAAUCCUUUUGAAUCCUAAGAAGCCUGAAAAUUAUAGGAGAUGGUCUGCAUGGACUGAACAG